CUACUACUCCCUCCGUCCGAAAAUACUUGUCAUUGAAAUGGAUGUAUCUAGGUGUAUUUUAGUUCUAGACACAUCCAUUUUGAUGACAAGUAAUUCCGGACGGAGGGAGUAUUAU
rnacentral:pre_miRNA from 1 species